UACGUAGGUGGCAAGCGUUGUCCGGAAUUAUUGGGCGUAAAGCGCGCGCAGGCGGUCCCUUAAGUCUGAUGUGAAAGCCCACGGCUCAACCGUGGAGGGUCAUUGGAAACUGGGGGACUUGAGUGCAGAAGAGGAAGGUGGAAUUCCAUGUGUAGCGGUGAAAUGCGUAGAGAUGUGGAGGAACACCAGUGGCGAAGGCGACUUUC
rnacentral:rRNA from 1 species